CUCACGAUCAUAUGUAGGACCAAGGUUCAAAGUUAGAAGCUUAUUACAACGAGAUGUUUGAUGCAUCUAUACGCUGGGAAGAUAUAAUGUGGUUAAGAUCAAUUACUAGUUUGCCAAUUCUGAUAAAGGGGAUUCUCACUCAUGAAGAUGCAACUAGAGCAGUGGAAGCUGGUGUUGAUGGAAUUAUUGUCUCUAAUCAUGGAGCUCGCCAACUAGACUUUGCUCCUGCCACUGUUUCUGCCCUUGAAGAGUUAUGUAGGUGUUAAAUUAGAGAUGGUGAAGCUGAUAAUGAUUGCCCGUGUUCUGACGGUCUUCCUCAUGCUGAUGGACUAGAUGAUGGUCGUGAUUUGAGAGAUUCUGAGCUGCAAGCAAAGCGUUGUUUAAGAUAUUAUCAAGAGGACAGAAUGAGCCUUCGAGGAUGUCUAUUGAAACCGGCUCUUAUGUUUUUCAGUAUCCUCGCAUCACGCAAGUUUGCAUUCCAUGCGCAAUGAAAUCACAUAAGUUAUAUUCUUGUCAUGCAUUCAUUAGGCCACCAUUUAGGCAAUACCAAGAUCAUAGUCUAAAGCAGAUUUUGGACUUGACACCAAACCAUAAUGUAUUGUUGGAACUGAAACAUUCUUGAACUAUUGCAGUUGGUUCCAUUUCUUCCCAUA